UACGGGGGGGGCAAGCGUUGUUCGGAAUUACUGGGCGUAAAGGGUUUGUAGGUGGCUAAUUAAGUCAGACGUGAAAUCCCUCAGCUUAACUGGGGAACUGCGUCUGAUACUGGUUGGCUUGAGUGCAGGAGAGGAAUGCGGAAUUCCAGGUGUAGCGGUGAAAUGCGUAGAUAUCUGGAGGAACACCGGUGGCGAAGGCGGCGUUCUGGACUGCAACUGACACUGAGAAACGAAAGCCAGGGGAGCAAACGGG
rnacentral:rRNA from 1 species